GAAGCUGGCUAGACAGUCGCCGCCCACCUUUCGGUUAUGGAAGGCAGGGGGGAGGAAAGUCCGGGCUCCACAGAGCAGGAUGCCGGUUAAUGGCCGGCCACCGUGAGGUGAGGAAGAGGGCCACAGAGACGAGCGUAUUAAGUUACGGUGAAACGCGGUAACCUCCAUCCGGAGCAAGACCAAAUAGGCAGGCGAUGAUGCUGCUCGCUGAGCCUGCGGGUAGGUUGCUUGAGCGUACGGGUAACCGUACGUCUAGAGGAAUGAUUGUCCAAGACAGAACCCGGCUUAUCGGCCAGCUUCAUUC
rnacentral:RNase_P_RNA from 2 species